CUCCUCUUGGUGUAGUUGGUUCAUCACGUUCGACUGUAAUUGCUAUAUGUAAUCGAAAGGGUAAGUUCACGCUUCAGAUUCUGACUUCGGAAUCAAAUUCUAACAAAUAUCACAGUCCCUGGUUCGAUUCCGGGAGAGGAGA